ACCUAGCCCUGAUUGAAAUGGCAUCCUUUUUUUGUUUUUCUCAAAAAAAGAUAUAAUUGAAAGCAGGAAAUAGC
rnacentral:sRNA from 1 species